GAUGAGCUUAAAAGUUUUAUUAAUUUUUUUUGUUACACAUUUUCAGUUUAGAAACGAACAAACAAAUGAGAGACAAUAUAGAAAGCAAAGAUCAACAACCUGGCAACAGUCUCUAUCAACGUGUUGACUAACAAAUAUAGAAUUAAAUGAUAAGACAGAAAACAGUUUGAUGACUGGAACACUUAGUGACAUCAUUUAAUAGCCUGUGGCAUCGAAGCUAUUACAGUAAUAAUUUCUCUCCAGUGAGGAAGACUACAUAAUGGCACUUGCCUGGAAGUCUUAAUUUUCCAACCCAAAACUUCAGGAUAUUUUUCAAGCCCCCUACCAUGACUCCGUAUGCCACAGCAGACAAGAUUUUGCAAUCAUUCCUGAAGAAAAUAGAUAAUAAGUACAAAUACAUUUUCCAGUACUAAACUGAAGAGCAUGCUGUCUUAAAAUUUUAUAUUGUCUGUAUGUGUACAGUGGAAAGUUAACAUUGAUGGCAGCCAGGUUAUAAAAAGUUAGUUCAUAAAAACCCUCUGCUUAAAAUAUAAACUG
rnacentral:lncRNA from 1 species